GGGCUCCAGGCAGGGCUCCUCGGCGUCCCUCCGGGCCCCGACGGAGGUGCCGGAGAUCUUCCGGCUACAAACCCGGGCAGGUGGAGCUCGUUAGCCGUGGUAGGCAAUCUGCCUAGGAGAGCAAACUCUAUACAAACCCGGGCAGGUGGAGGUCGUUAGCCGUGGUAGGCAAUUCACCUAGGAGAGCAAACUCUAUACAAACCCGGGCAGGUGAGGCUCGUUAGCCGUGGUAGGCAAUUCACCUAGGAGAGCAAACUCUAUACAAACCCGGGCAGGUGGAGGUCGUUAGCCGUGGUAGGCAAUUCACCUAGGAGAGCAAACUCUAAACAAACCCGGGCAGGUGGAGCUCGUCAGCCGUGGUAGGCAAUCUGCCUAGGAGAGCAAACUCCGAACAAUAAACCCGGGCAGGUGGAGCUCGUCAGCCGUGGUAGGCAAUCUGCCUAGGAGAGCAAACUCCGAACAAUAAACCCGGGCAGGUGGAGGUCGUCAGCCGUGGUAGGCAAUCUGCCUAGGAGAGCAAACUCCGAACAAUAAACCCGGGCAGGUGGAGGUCGUCAGCCGUGGUAGGCAAUUCACCUAGGAGAGCAAACUCCGAACAAUAAACCCGGGCAGGUGGAGGUCGUCAGCCGUGGUAGGCAAUCUGCCUAGGAGAGCAAACUCUAAAUAAACCCGGGCUUGUGGUGCUCGUUAUACUGUCGUAGACAAUCCACGCGAUGGGAACACCAAAGAAAAGGAAAAUAAAAAAGAACACCAGAAAAAUGGAAAAUACAGAAACGAAACAUCAAGAAAAGAAACAAAAAGAUCAUCCACCUUUAGGCCCUAACAU